UACAGAGGUCUCAAGCGUUGUUCGGAUUUAUUGGGCGUAAAGGGCGCGUAGGCGGCGGGGUAAGUCGGGUGUGAAAUCUCAGGGCUCAACCCUGAAACUGCACUUGAUACUGCUCUGCUUGAGGACUGGAGAGGAGACUGGAAUUCACGGUGUAGCAGUGAAAUGCGUAGAUAUCGUGAGGAAGACCAGUGGCGAAGGCGGGUCUCUGGACAGUAACUGACGCUGAGGAGCGAAAGCGUGGGGAGCGAACAGG
rnacentral:rRNA from 1 species